CCCCUCCCGGGCUCGCCCCGAUCGGAUCUGCUCACCCGCCCACCUGCCCGCCCGCUGACCCUGACCCGAGUCGACGCCACGGAUCUGAGGCUCCCGCCCAGCUGCUCCCGAGCCCUGCCCCGCGCCCCUGCCCGUGCUCCGACGAUCCGCGGAGCUUUUGGUCGCGCCUGGGGAUGGCGCUUCCUGCGAGGGGUGGUUUCGUCUGUAGGGUUUGAUUUGAUUUGUUGCUUGCCUGUGGGAGGAUUCUAUUAGGUUGGACUGCUCCGGCUUCUCAGCUGGCGUGGACUCCCUGUGGUGAUGCUGGGUGAGAAAAUUGCAAAGCGGACAAGCGCUUGACUGAAGAAUCUUAUUGGUUUGUCCCCAUUUGGAUAUUCGGAUGUGUUGAAUUGAGUUGAGGGAGCUUUUUCGGGUGUGUUUCUGCUAAGCUAGCUGUCCACAGAAGUGGGAGCAGCCUGAAUUGUGAAAAGCAAUCAAUCAUAGCUAACUGCUUGGCUGAUUGAUCAGAUUGGCUUGUCUCGCUUCUGCACAAACACAAGGAAUGAAGGUGCUGUAAGCUGAAUCCCUUACUACUGGUGGUGUUGUGCAAACUGAGGAGCAGUGGUGGCGGCAAACCAAACAUUGGAGAGUAUUCACUCCAUCCUGGUUUGGUCAGCCAGCUUCUUGACUCGAGCAUCAGAUUGACAAUCUGGAUGGAGUGCUUAUUGGUGCUUGGUUAAGGGCAAUGUUGAGUAGGAAAUCAUUGCAACCUAUGCCUUAACCAUCGCACUUGUUUGCAGCUGUCACACUAUGUACCUAUACCUAGUGGUCGUAUCUGUGUUCCUCUUCCAUUUCAUUAUAUUUAUUGUUAGGUUGGCCUACAAACAUUUUAUUCCAGGCAGAAUCAUAUGUACGAAUUGGUGUCAUUCCUAGUGUAUGUUGAGGCAACCAGAUUUUAUUA